GAGGCAUUCGUCUAGUGGUUAGGACAAGGGAUUUUCAUUCCCUAAACAGGGGUUCAAUUCCCCUAUGCCUUG
rnacentral:tRNA from 1 species